UGCUGGUGAGCAGUACGCUAUUGCUGGUUUAUGUUUAAGGAAUGAGGUUCAUCUAGGAUUUUGUUAUUACGUAUCUCAGAAAGCAUUUGUCAAGGAAUCAUGACACGGGCUUUUCCAUCCAGACGGGUUUCUGUGUACAGCAUACCAGCUCCAUACCACCCUGAGCAGGCUGAUGGGCAGGUAAGAGACAACAGUUGUGCUUUACAUCAGGGGCACAGUAAACAAUCUCUCUGACAUCUUCUGAUUAGUAUAGACCUCUGCUGAUGUGUACUGAUCUCUGCUCUUUAUGUGCAAUUGCUUCUAACUAAAGUGACAGCAGUUCUUUCCUCUCCCUCACUCUGACAUUUUAUCAUUUGAAAUGCAAAAAAGUGAAAUGCAUGGGUUUUGUGUGUGACAUAAUAUAAAACACAUUGUCUUAAUCUAUUAAUUUGUAUCUGAUAAAAACGAAAAGAGCAAAUAUACUGAAAGAUGAUACAGUGGGUCUCUUUCUGUUGCCUCACAAACUGAUGCCACCCUGUCUUUCUUUAGGAAAAUCUGUAUAUUCACUACUGCACAUCUUACCAAAAGGGCUUGUGUCAGAAGUACUAUUUCUUCAAAUGGAUGAGACUGUGUUUCUGGAGAAGACGGCUUCUAGGAAUAUUAUCUCUAGUUUCUUUAUCAGUUACAGUAAUUGUGCUAAUCCUGCACUGUUCGCUCUCUCCAGCUUUCUCUUUAAUAUAUAUUGGUGGAAGUGUAGAAAUUCCUAAUCUGACUUACACAAGUGAUCUCAAUGAUCCCAGCUCCCAGAAAUUCCUCCUGCAAGCAGAGGCAAUCCAAAAUUAUCUCGCAGAAUCCUACAAGUGUUCCACCUUGGGAAAGUAUUAUUUGAAGUCCAUAGUGGCUGCUUUCAGUGAAGGAGAGUAUGGACUUCGAGCUUACUACUGGAAUACAUUCUGGGCACCACAGGAUAUUACUGAUUCUCUUAAAAAGUUAAUCCCUUUGGAACAAAAAGAAACGAGUAGUAAACAAAUGCCUCACCUGUUCAGUACUUCUGGGGAAGGAGAUUUUGAUCUUGUUACAAUGGAGCUUUUUGGUAACAAUGUACCUGUCAUUUAAUAUCUAUUCUGUCAGUUUUUCUUUCUCUCGUUUUCGUCUUUGGAUUGUGUAAUUGAUAGUUACUAAAUUUCAGUUUCAGAUUCUACAGAAUACAAUGUGAUGCUAAAAUCAGGUAAUUAUUCUUCAGUCCCAUAUUACUCAUAUUAUUUUGGGGAAAAAAAGAAGCAGCAACAGAAAAAUAAAAAAACUGUGCUAGGAAAAUGGCA
rnacentral:lncRNA from 1 species